AUAGCGUCUUCUGGGGUGGAAGCACUGGGGUGUGUUUGGAGGUGCUCUGGGAUGAUAACCCCAAACAGCAGGGCCUGGAAAUUAGCAGCAUCACAUAACUUCAGUGAUGGAUGAUCAAACUGGCCCUUGCAGAUAUUGCAAAUUGCAUAAGAAGUAAAAUGACUUGAUUCCAAUAGAGGAGGCGCAUUUAGGAUUCUGAAUCUGAAACGUGGAGGAUCCAGCAUAACACAAGCAACUUGUUCCCUCCGUUACUCUGUGGGGGCGUGCAAAGUAAAAGAGACAGAGAACCGCAGCUGCAGAGCGCGCAGGCUGAAUCUGGCAGUUCUGUGGGUCGCCUCGCGUAGUCCUCCGGAGCAGCACCCACAGUCUUGACAGGUCUUGACCGUGCUGGAGCCAAGGAGCAACAAGGGAAGAUGAAGGCAAAACUUGCCGGCUGUAUUAACGCUUUGCAGAAGUAGAUUUACCAGCUCCGCCUAUAUAUCGAUUUGCCUCAGCGUUUGCAGGAAUUUGGGUGUAUCUGCAACUUCACAAGCCGUUACAGUGGAGUGCCUCGUGCCACUCUCUGCCGCUCAUGGGUGAACGACCAAGGAAAGAUGAAAGCGAGGGGCCAGCACUAAAUGCAAGACUGUAGGCAUGGCUAUUUCCCGGACCAGUUCUCCCCCCAAUUAGCGGUACAGCAUCAACAGCGCGUGGAUGAGUCAGGGUGCGAUAGUGCGAGUUCUCCUCCUUUAGCCUUACGCGCAGCGCUGGCAGGGACAUUCACGUCGUUAUUGUUGUCCAUUCCCGCACUCCUCCUCCUCCCCCCCGGGCCUGCCCUGCCUCACGCCGCCCGCCAAGGCCGGGGGAGGGGAGGUGGGCGAAGGGGCCCUUUUCUGGUCCGGGACUCCAUUUCCCAGCAGCCACCGGGAUGCCCGCUCUCGCGAGAGUUGGCCGGGAUCGCGCCCAGACUCCA